CUCUGAGGCCGUGGCAGGGCACAGAUCAUGAAGAACAGUUGAUCCCAGACCAAAGCCCACAUAGAACUGAGGAUGUGUAAAGGGUAUAUGACUGGCUCACUCCUUGGUUUAAAGCCACUUUAAUCUAGGACGUUGGGGAAACCAGAGAGCAUGUCGAUUCCAUUAAGGAAAGAAGAGAAAUGCUUAUGGAAACAGUACCACCUGCAUAUCCAUUGGCCUCCCCUUCCCGACCUCCACCCUGCUGUUACCCAUCAGUCAUCUGAAAGGAAGAUCCCACAGAGUUGACAGAGUCCUUUACAGAGAAGAUCGUCAUAUGCUCUCCGUAGGUUACCUGUCUAUUUAAGAAGCAAACCUCUCGUCACCUGCUGCGGAGCAUCUCGAUGUUAGAAACCACACCACUAUUUUUAGUGUGUGUCCUUGUGCUUCUGCACGAUGAGUCAGGGUUCUCUUUUUAAAAAUACUUGGCAUUCCUCAGAAGAAAGAUAAACACAUUUAAUGUUCUCAGUUGCUACUAUUCUAAUCACCAAGUCAAGAGUUGCUUCUUUUCUUAGCUGCCUCCAGUGCCACAGAACUAUCUGGGCCUCUUCCUCUACCCCGCCUCGUGUGAUCACUCCUUUCAAAAGCAGCAGCCAAAGCAGAUGCGAGGGAGAUGCACUGGUGCUCAUAAAUUCAAGGAGCUAAAAUGGCAACAGCUGUGGCAAUUUCAGGAUUUCAGCAGGUAAUCAAGUGCAAACUGGGGUGCUGUCAAGCAACCUGGUGCUGAGGGGGCAGAGCCAGGAUGGACCCGGAUUCUGGAUUUCCACCAUGUGCCUGGUGGAUACCAUGCGGAUGUGGAGCAGGCAAUGCUGGGUGCAAAUCCCCGCCAGGAACUGUUCAUCCUGAAAAAAACCUGCUGCACAUUGCCCUGGUCACCUCAACGAAAAGAAGAAGCCCAGAAAAAUCAAAGUGCCUGAGGUCCGUGAAAGCUGUAAUGACUCCCUACCAUGAAGGUGAUGCUAGGCUUAAAAUCUCACUUUUUCCCAUAUCCCCAGGCAGGCACAAGGGACGGCCUGUGGCAUUGGGCAUUUGAUGAGGGUGAGCUGUUUCUGGUCUCGAACUCCCUCUGAAGAACCCCAGCUAGGGUUUGGGGCCUGUCCAUGAACCAGGCUCCCUCAGCCCAUCCAGAAGGCACUUCCACAACCUUGACUCAAUUUUUUCCCUACCUCACCCCAGAGCUGAGACACUUUCAUGACUCCUUUGAGCAUCUCUCCAGCUUAGCAGUUUCCUAGGGCUGCUGGGACAAAUACCACAAACCGGGUGGCUCACACAACUGAAAGCUAUUCUCUCCCAGUUCUGGAGGCUAGAAGUUCAACUCGAGGCGUCAACAGAUUUGGCUUCUUCUGAGGGCCGUGAGGAGGCAUCUGUCCUGUGCCCUCCCCUAGCUUGUGGUGGCUUGCUGGCAGUCGGAUAUCCCUCAGCUUGUAGACUUAUCAUCCAGAUCUUUCUUUUUUUUUUGAGACGGAGUCUUGCUCUGUC
rnacentral:lncRNA from 1 species